UUUUUUGCAAAUGCAAAUUUAAUUAACUGAACGUUGUUACAAAGGCAUAUUCUAUUAUAAUAUCAACCUUUAGGCCUUAAAGUUCACGUCUAUCUAUUGAUUGUCUAUUCUACCGUGGCCUGUCCUUUUACCCAUUUCUUCAAGUUAAACUGAUACUCCCGCAGCAUAAUGCCUUGAUUUUCUUGUCAUCGCAUCUAGUCCUACAAGUACGCUCGUUUCUCUUUUUUUUGAGACGACCACAAGGUGUUGCACAACCGAAUGCAGCCUUCUUUUCCGGACAGGUCACUCUGCGAAUGCCAUGAACAAUUGUACAGUUCAAUCCUGACGAACCUCCUGGCUGGCCUACAAAACAUAUAUGAUAACAAUUUUGUGAAAUUCAAUUUUGUGAAAAUAGUUACGAAGCAUUUUUUGUAUGUCG